UACGGAGGAUCCAAGCGUUAUCCGGAUUUAUUGGGUUUAAAGGGUGCGUAGGCGGUUUGAUAAGUUAGAGGUGAAAUACCGGGGCUUAACUCCGGAACUGCCUCUAAUACUGUUGAACUAGAGAGUAGUUGCGGUAGGCGGAAUGUAUGGUGUAGCGGUGAAAUGCUUAGAGAUCAUACAGAACACCGAUUGCGAAGGCAGCUUACCAAACUAUAUCUGACGUUGAGGCA
rnacentral:rRNA from 1 species